rnacentral:rRNA from 1 species
GAGUUUGAUCGUGGCUCAGAUUGAACGCUGGCGGCAGGCCUAACACAUGCAAGUCGAGCGUGAAAGGGCUUCGGCCUGAGUAAAGCGGCGGACGGGUGAGUAACGCGUAGGAAUCUACCUGGUAGUGGGGGAUAACGUUCCGAAAGGAACGCUAAUACCGCAUACGUUCUGAGGAAGAAAGCAGGGGGCUCGCAAGACCUUGCGCUAUCAGAUGAGCCUGCGUCCGAUUAGCUAGUUGGUGGGGUAAAGGCCUACCAAGGCGACGAUCGGUAACUGGUCUGAGAGGAUGAUCAGUCACACUGGAACUGAGACACGGUCCAGACUCCUACGGGAGGCAGCAGUGGGGAAUAUUGGACAAUGGGGGCAACCCUGAUCCAGCCAUGCCGCGUGUGUGAAGAAGGCCU